GUCAUGUUAGAGUAACUGUAGAGUAAGAAACAGCAGUAUCGAACUGGAUCCCAGGGACAUCUGCAGCUUUCAGCAAGAAAUAACCAUGGCAACACCUGCUGAUCUGUUGGAAAUACUGGAAGACCUGGCAGAUGAAGAGUUGAAAAAGUUCAAAUGGUAUCUGCAGUAGGCUGAGGACUUGAAAGAUUUCCCAUCAAUCUCAAGGAGCAAACUGGACAACACAAACAGGAUGACCACAGUGUCUGAGCUCAAAGAGACUAACAACACAGAUGCAGUGGCAGUGACCAUUAAAGUCCUAAAGAUGAUCAAAAGGAAUGACCUGGCACAGCAUUUAUCAAAUAUGAACCCAGCGUCAAAAGUCUGGUGACGUCUUGAUCUGUCCAUCUUCACUCUACAUCUGUUACAGUCCAUUACAGCCAAAACCAGAUGACUAAAAAUGAACUGACUCAACACCUCAGUGACUCCACAAAAACUGAAUGCAUCUCACAGGAGUUAUUUAACGGUGACACUAUUGACGGGAAGUGAUUAAAAUGAAAAUAUCAACAACAACAAACGUAACUGAAGAUGAACUGAUGUCAUUUGUUUCUCAGAGGUGGGAAAUUCCACAAUGAGGUCAGCUAUUUAUUCAACCAAUCACACGAGAGCGAGUUCGACGCUUGAGCCAAUGAUGUGGAGGCAGUUUUACAGUUUGAUGCCUUGAAGACCACAAAUAGAUAUGACACAGGCUUCUUGUAAUGCUGGCAUCCAGCCUCACACACACAUGCAGACAGACGGUGGGGAAAUGUUGGAGCUCUGAGCUCAUCCCUCAGAGAAGCAGCCAUGAAGCCUUGAAACCUGAGACUAGACCAGCUCUGUUUGCACUGUGGGUCUGCACUUUAAAACAGCUGCUCAAGUCAAUUCUUGGCUCUCAGUUUAUGUCUGAUCAAAGAAAAUAUUCAUAGUAUACAGCAUAGAAACAAAAGGCACGACUGUGUGAUAUGGGUCAAUAUAGAAUUGAGGGACUUUUGAAGUCCAUGAGAUAUAUCUUGCAUACAUUUUUAUUAAAAGUAAAGAAAGUCACAUUUUUAUGUUCAUUAUGAUCAUGUCUUUACAAAUUCCAUAAUUAUUUAUUAUGGAAACAAUCACUUAUUAUUAAAAAAAAUACUUGAUAUCUCUUAAAUGUCAACUAAAUAACCGUCUGAAUUCAAUCCCAACCACCUUCUAAUGAGCU
ensembl:lncRNA